rnacentral:misc_RNA from 1 species
UUUCCGUAGGUGAACCUGCGGAAGGAUCAUUAAUGAGUUGUCAUGGGGUUUGAUGCUGGCAGCCAAUUUUUGGAUGCAUGUGCUUGCCCUAACAAUCAUCUUCCAAACACCUGUGCACAUUUUUGAGGGAGUCUUGAGUUGGUUGCCGCUCUUGGGUGAUUUUCUCACAUUCCCUUAAAUCAUUAUACGCUAUUAACAAUGUUGAACGUGCUCUGUGCCGCAAGGCUAUUAAUAUAAUACAACUUUUAACAACGGAUCUCUUGGCUCUCGCUUCGAUGAAGAACGCAGC